UCAGACGAUGCGUCAUGCAUAUCAAUAAGCGGAGGAAAAGAAACUAACAAGGAUUCCCCUAGUAACGGCGAGUGAAGCGGGAAGAGCUCAAAUUUGAAAUCUUAAAGGGUUUCCCUUUACGAAUUGUAGUUUAAAGAAGUGUUUUCUGUUGAGGUUUUGGUAAAAGUUCUUUGGAAUAGGACAUCAUAGAGGGUGAGAAUCCCGUAUUUGACCUUUACUUUCAACUUUGUGAUACACUUUCAAAGAGUCGGAUUGUUUGGGAAUGCAGUCCAAAAUGGGUGGUAAAUUUCAUCUAAAGCUAAAUAUUGGCGAGAGACCGAUAGCGAACAAGUACCGUGAGGGAAAGAUGAAAAGAACUUUGAAAAGAGAGUUAAACAGUACGUGAAAUUGUCAAAAGGGAAGCGUUUGACACCAGUGUUGUUUUUUCUGAAAAUCAAUUAAAGAACUGUUUAUGCUAAGCUGUUUAGACUUUAUCAGCUAUCUGUUUAGUUUUGAGCUUUUCUUUAAUGCACUUUUCAGUUAACAAGUCAACAUCAAUUUCUUUUGCUGUAAAAAAGCUUGAGGAAGGUGGCUUGAGAUUCGUCUUAAGUGUUUAUAGCCUCUUGCCUAUGCAGUCGGAGAGAUUGAGGUCUGCAGCGUAGAUCCUUCGGGGCUAAAUGCAUUUGUGCUAAGUUAUAGCAUUUUAUAGACAACUUGUUGACUAUGAUUUGUCUUGUAGCUUACUCGCUUAUGUUAUUUUACCUACGCUUAGGAUGUUGAAUCUGUGCGAGACUAC
rnacentral:rRNA from 1 species